GACGAACGCUGGCGGCAUGCCUUACACAUGCAAGUCGAACGGCAGCGGGCCUUCGGGUGCCGGCGAGUGGCGAACGGGUGAGUAAUGCAUCGGAACGUGCCAUUGAGUGGGGGGAUAACGUAGCGAAAGUUGCGCUAAUACCGCAUAUUCUGUGAGCAGGAAAGCAGGGGACCGCAAGGCCUUGCGCUCUUUGAGCGGCCGAUGUCAGAUUAGCUAGUUGGUGAGGUAAAGGCUUACCAAGGCGACGAUCUGUAGCGGGUCUGAGAGGAUGAUCCGCCACACUGGAACUGAGACACGGUCCAGACUCCUACGGGAGGCAGCAGUGGGGAAUUUUGGACAAUGGGGGCAACCCUGAUCCAGCCAUGCCGCGUGAGUGAAGAA
rnacentral:rRNA from 1 species